CCAGCUAGUCCCAUACGGACCAAAAAUAAAACUCUCUUCCGUUUAUAUAGCGAAAGCUCAAUAAUGGAGUUCGUCCCUUCGGGGACAUCCGAUAAAAUUGGAACGAUACAGAGAAGAUUAGCAUGGCCCCUGCGCAAGGAUGACACGCACAAAUCGAGAAAUGGUCCAAAUUUUUUUUCCUUUUCCUCUCCUCAAUUUGUUAGGGUUUUGUUCGAACAUUCAAUCUCAGAUGAGGAACAAAAUCUUAUCAAAAGCAAAGUUAACAUUAAGUUACACCUUUAAGGUGAAGUAACUAUCUAUAUCUGGAAGGGACUACGGAGGAGUAUGCUGUAUAAUUGAAAAAAGGAGAGAAAAAAAGGGAAAUAUAAUGCUUGAAUGCAAAGUUGGAACCUUCAGAAAAGAUUAACAUGGCCCCUGCUGCGCAAGGAUGAAACCCAUAAAUCGAGAUAUGGACCAAAUUGUUUUGACAUUUUUUGAUCUGGCUUUAAACAAGUUAUGAUCAUCUUUCUGCAACAUGAGGUUUCCUUGGAACCUUCAAUCUGAGGUAAGUUUUUUCUUCCUUUUUUUUAAUUGCCCCUCUUUGUUUAUGUAAAUUCUUGAAAGUGUCUUGCUUUAUCAAAUAAGAAUCGAUUAAGCUUCAGUGUGCAAUUCUGGACUUAGAUGAUUAGGUAAAAUGACAACGGUUUUAUCCUUCAUUUUUUAAGAUUAUUUGUCAAGUUAGAUGUCAAAAGAAUUUGGUGGGUGUGGAACUGUUAUGAGCAUAUUAUUUACUCGCUAUUUAAACAGAACAAAUUUUUAUAUGGUGUUGGUGAAAUUUAAGUAAACAAGGAUAACUUCUGUGUAAAAUUACAUAAAUUUAGGCUAUCUGCGUAGAAAUGGCAAGAGGAAGUGGAUAUAUAACGUGCAAUUUAGUAUCUGCUCAUGUCAAAUGGGUACGACCAGAGGCGGAGCUAGUAAGAAGAAAGGGGUUCAAUUGAUUUUCCUUCGUCGAAAAAUUAUACUCCUGCAAAUAGGGUAAAGAUAGAAUAUUUUAGUUAUACAUAAACUGUUGAAUCCCUUUGGCACAAGAAAAAUUCAGACUGAAGUAGUCACAAGGGGGUUCAAAAAUUGUUUCAGGUCACAAGUUCUUAUCCCAACUAUGACAUUCUAGUAUUUUUUUUAAUCCACUUGUAUAAAGUUCCUGGCUACGCCACUAGGUAGGACGCGUUAUGAGUAUGUGAUGUGGAUCCUAAGUCUGCUGCAACAUGCCCCUUCCAAUCCCAUACUCGGUAUCAGAUAUUUGUACCUGGUUUAGUGAAAUUUAAGGCUCAGUUACAGAUGUGGAAGGAAAAAGGAUCACUCAGCUCAUGGGCUACCUGGCAAUAGCUCUACCAGACAAUGCUCGGAAAAUACGUAAGCUCCUCUGUCAAAGCAACAAUACUAGUAGCCGUUAUGCACUAAUUUCAUAAUUUUUUUGGUAUGACUUAUGCCCAAGGAGUCGAGGACAACAUUUAUGUAUGUAGCACAACCAUACAAGAACAGCCACAAUUUAUAAGAACCCUGUAAACUUCCGUUUGAGCGGGGCAUGAGGGGUUGAUUUUACUAGCUUGGACCUUUAAGCCUCACUCUUCUUUCGAUCCUUCUAUGACCUUACAAGGGCACUAUGUAUUGUUACACCAGUCGCCAGUAAACCUAGUUUUACUUGUCCAAGCAAGCGUAAACGCUUGCGUUUGUGUUCUGUAAACUAUGUGGACAUGAAGCAGAUGUUGUCUAGUCAACAAUGACAGUACUAGCUUGGAUCUUGGGAGACAUUCAGCACACGGAACUAUUUAUUUGCUCGCACGUCGGUCUUUGUUAUCUGUGUGUUGGCCUUUUCAUCUUCUCAAUCAUUAGCAUAAGCUGUCUCAUUUUGCCACAUAGUUUAUCCCAUGAGGUAGUUAAGCCAAUGCAGUUUUUGGCCCCACAUCCAACUCCCGAUUUGUUUGUUCUUGGAUUACUGGUUAUAUUUAUUCAAUAGGAUGAGAAGUUCAUUUCUUCUAUUUUAUAAUACUGCCAAACAAGCCCUUAAUUUACCAAUGCGUCACCCAAGCAUUUACAAUUGAGCUAGUUGAAUAUAUUGAGAACUUUACUGCAGAUUGUUGGUCUAGUUACUCUCAAGAAUCGGAAUAGUGACGAGAGUAGGGAUAUUUACGUAUACCAUGUCAAUAAUCUGACUGAACUGAGCACUGUUUAGUUGAUCAAAGAUCAUCUUUAUAAACCUUCCUUUUAAUUUGAACAUCUUUCUCAAAAUUGAAAUGAAGUCUUAGUUGCAGAUGCUAGUCCCAUCUGAACUACUUAUGAUGCACCAUUUCGUUUGCUGGAAUUUAUUUUCAUAUAAUUUGGCUGAUUCUGCUCAAGUUUAUUACAUGUUGCUGUAGUGAUAUAGCUUUCUCAUGAGUUUAUUUCGAGAAAUUAGUUUUACCGCUUUUAAUCACAAGAGAUAUUACUUUACUUAUUUCUAUAACCACAAAACUUACCAACUGAAACAAUUUAGGAAAAAUGAGGACACUCUCUGUUGUGCUCUAAACACCAAAAUAGUCACGUUAAGUGAUAUGGAAAGUUCCCUGAAUAAUAUUAUUUCAAAUCUACAAAUAAUCUGAAUUCAUAACUCUUCCAGUUCAGCUCCACUUUUUCUGUUUUUUAGAUUCUUAUCAAGGUUGUACAAAUCUGGUAACCAAUUCCCUAGGAACUCAGUUAUUCUUAAAAUUCAUUGUAGGAGAAAGUGUCUAGAUUUUGAUAAGAAAAGAAAGAUCAUCUUCUGUUUAGCUUAAAUCUUUUAAUUCUUUUAUUAUUUUUUAUAUAAAGGCCUAAUCUUCUAAUCUUUUCCAAAUGUUUUGUCACUUUCCAACUGUGAAUAGCUAAUUAGUAAACUACACUUCUGAGGUAUUAGGGAGGAGUAUGUUUAUACAAUUAAAAAAGGAAAAAGUAAUAUAGUGCUUGAAAAUGAACGCAAAAUUGGAAGUAGAUGAAGUAGUUUAUAAAGGAACAAGUGCAGUAUUUCAUGUUUUCAUCCUAAUAUAGUCCACAAGCAGCCCAUUUGGUAAAAGGCCUUUCAGAAAAGCUCAACUAAACAAGAAAAGGAAGGAAGAUGCUUUUUCCGGUUUUAUCCCAAUGAGCCCCCCAAACUAUUGGAGCCUAUAAAAUUGGAACGAUACAGAGAAGAUUAGCACGGCCCUGUCACGAGGGUUGACAUGCACAAGCCGAGAAGUGGUUCAAAUUCUUUACUCCAAUUCCCCAAUUUGUUAAGGUUUUGUGGAACCUUCAAUCUGAGAUAUGUUUCUUUCUUUCUUUUUUCAUUGUCCCUCUUUGUUUAUUUAAAUUGUUAAAAGCUUCUUGUUUUAACAAUAUUGAUUGAAGUGUUGUGAAUUUUUAUGUUUCAUAGUAAAUUGUGAAUAUUUAUUGA